UUCUGCGAAAUUGUUUUGGCAAUUGUUUAUUCCUCUUAAAAAUAGUAGGUAUAGCACUGAAUAUCUCGAGGGAGUAUGAAAAUAUUUAUCUCAGAUAUUUAAUCUCAAAAUAACUAUUUCUUAAAAUAAAUAAUCAGACUAUGUGCGAUAAGGUAGAUAGUCGAAAGGGAAACAGCCCAGAACAGUAAUUAAAGCUCCCCAAUUAAUAUUAAGUGAA
rnacentral:rRNA from 1 species